UUUGUACACCGACACCGUCCCAAAAUUCUUGUCUUAGAUUUUUCUAGAUGUAGAUGAAUCUAAUACUAAAACAUGAAUUGAUACAUUCGUAUUUGGACAAAUCUAAGACAAGAAUUUUGGGACGGAGGGAGUACAUU
rfam:Triticum aestivum genome assembly, contig: Triticum_aestivum_CS42_TGACv1_scaffold_061362_1DL